rnacentral:lncRNA from 1 species
CUGAAAAGGGAAUCGAUCGUGAUUUGGAACCUGUUCUUUACAUGAACCCUCUUAACUAAGAUUUUCUUAUUUAUACCUGUUCUACUUUUUUUCUGUUCUGGCUCGGUUAUUCCAUCUAGCCGAGCCAUUCAUUCCUUUUUAUGAAAGAAAGAUAAGGGACAGAAAAAAAUGUAUUUUCCCAUCAACUAGCUAAAAUUGAUUAACCCUAGGAUUAGGAUCCUUUUUUCUUUUUUCCUCUAUGUGUAUUUUACUUUAGCGCAAGGGCGCUCGAUUAGUGAGCUAUUACGCACUCUUUAAAGGGUGGCUGCUUCUAGGCAAACCUCCUGGCUUUCUUUGCACCCCCACGGCCUUUAUCACUGAGCGGUCAUUUAGGGGCCUUAGCUGGUGAUCCGGGAUCGAUAAACCUUUUGGAUUUUAUUAACCAAAGAGAUACGACUUUGGGCUAUGGUUAGCUCAGCUCCAAUCAAGAAUAUUCUUACUAUUAUUGUAUUAUCUUAUUUAUAGUGAAACAAGUUGAGAAGAGGUUGUUAAUAAGAGAUUGCCCAGGGAAAUAGGUAAAAGAAAUUUCCAUCUUUGAUUCUCUAUAAACCAAGAAUAAAGGGAAAUCACUGAUUCAUUUGGAGCUGUUUUCUACCUGACUCAUUGACAUGAGAGAUUAGAUGCGAUGCGCCAGUCACUCGACCGUCAAUCCUUUCUUGUGACGAGCCAUGACUGGGUGCUCUGAAACCUCCUUAAAAGGAGGGGCGGUGGGGUAAGGUAAUUGUUGGGCAGUACACAGGAGGAAAUUGACAGGUCUAUAAAUUCUAUUAAAGGAAUGAGAAAGCUAAUGAAUCUUAAACCCAUUGAUAAAAAGAAAAAAAAGGGUACCAACGAUCUGGAAUCCCGUGCUGAAACCUACAGAUAUGCACCUAUGCGGACCAUCCUGGCAAUCCUCCUGUCUAUUCUUUCUAAUAACCAACGAAUGGCAAGUGCUCUUCCUUGUUUAGAUCCUAUUUCAAUCGGAACUUUCCGCGUCGAUCCUUUUUAUUUUAUCUUGUUUCUUACCUAAAUUUAUUAGUUUCUUCUUUAUUUGUAACAGUUCUCUACUUGGGCGGGUGGAAUUUAUCUAUUCCCUAUAUAUCCUUUUUUGUCUGAAAUCUUUAAGCAACUAAAAAAGACGUAUACUAAAAGAUAUGUGUUGAAAAGGGAUGGUCAAUAACAAGAUGAACCCAAUGCCCAAUCUUCCUCGGGUUCCACGGGGUAAAUCCAUUAAAAAGGACAAAUUUUAGCAGAAGGAGCUGCUACAGUUGGGGGCGAACUUGCUUUAGGAAAAAACGCCCUAAAUAAACGCGGACACUUAAAAAAUCUGUCGGGCAGGCAGAUUCACAUCUCUUACAACCCACACAAUCUUCGGUUCUCGGCGCGGAAGCAAUUUGCUUGGCUUUACAUCCAUCCCAGGGUAUCAUUCCCUUUUAUGAUUGGAGAACCUGGCUUUGAUGACAUUCCUGAGGGAUCCGCAAAACCCCUCGCCAUUACCGUAUGAGCAGGUUUGAAAGCCUGCAAGUUAAGUUGUUGGCUGCUCUUAGCGAUUGACGGACGAAGCCGAGCCGAUAUGAUAGGCGGGCGAAGUGAGCGAGACCAAGACGGGCCAGACGUGGCUAAUUUUUUAAUUAAAUAAAAAAUCCCUUUUAACUUAGUGGUAGAGUAAUGCCAUGGUAAGGCAUAAGUCAUCGGUUCAAAUCUGAUAAAGGGCUUUCUAAUUGAUUGGAUAUCCCGCAUAAGGAAUCGAAGGAAGAUGCGACGUUUUAUUCCAGGGAAUCCCCAACAAAAAAUGCACAUUUGUAUCUGGAUUUUUUGAUUUCCUAAAAGAGUUUUGGUCUAACAGUUUUUUCUCGGAAGAAGAAAAAUAAACAAAAGAAUGAAUAAAAUAUGAAAGAAAAGCGUCCAUUGUCUAAUGAGUUCAUAACCCUAGCGCCCAUUCCCAUUUUGGGCGGAACAGAUCUACUAAUUCUUUUAUUCCAGUUAGAGCCGAAAUAGGAGUGGGUCCUUCCAUAGCAUCGGGUAACCAUACAUGAAGAGGGAAUUGUGCGGAUUUCGCAACUGCACCAAGGAAUAAUAAAAAAGCACACAAAGUAGUAAGUAAAAACCUUCAUGAAAUGAAGGUUUUAUUUUAUGUAAUCAUUUAGGUGUUAGUGUAAACGAACCAUAAUUACUAGCCAAUAUUUAUCUCAUGCCUUUCCUCGUUCAUGGUUCGAUAUUCUGGUGUCCUAGGCAUAGAGGAACCACACCAAUCCAUCCUGAACUUACAGCAGCUUGCCAAACAAAGGCUAAUAGAAAAAAGAAUAGAGGUAUAACAUGCUUUAUUCUUAAGUGGGGGAAUCCCCUGAAAGCCGGUGUUCGAGUGAGUUUUUUCCAGGAAGCUAGUUCUUUAGGGCUUAACCCCUUUUGUUAUUCUACCUGCACUCUUCCGUAAACUAAAACGUGCAUUAUCAAUAGGAUCAAUUCUAACAAGUCACACACUCAUAUUCCAGAGAUACCGAAACAAAAAAAUUCCGCGGUCGAACUACCAUAAUAUCUAGAAAUGUAGAUCUUAAACUAGAAAGGCUUUUUUGGAUGGAAAAACUCUGACUUCCUAGUUUUAGUUAGUAGAAACCUAAUUGGUUAAAAUUCCAUCCAGUAAAACGGAAGAAUUAUAAAUUUCUAAAAUACAUAGCUUUCUUUAGUCUUUCCGGUAUAGCGUCGCGUCGGUCGAUAUCGCAGAGUCUAAUUUCCUAACUCGGAUUUGAACUCAGUGGGUAAUUUCUAACAAAGUUUUUCUCUUGUUGAUUCCUAAUUCUAGGUGUAGUGCUUUUCUCCCCUAUGCUGCCUACGGAUACUAAAGAUCACCGCUUUUCAUACGCUAAUUCGUGAUUCAAAGUAGAGCGAGUGAGGGAGCUAUACCCGGGACUCAAUCAACAUAUGCCAGAAAUAGGAAAUUGGAAUGAAAUCCAGUCUUAGUCAAAUACUUCAUAUCUCUUUGUGUCCAAGCAGAAGGAAAAGGAUACAAUUUGAGCCCAAUCCCUUUGGUCAUUUCGCUUUUCGUGCCGGCCUGUAUUCAGAGUUUCUUGGAUUUGCGGUGCCUGAAUGCCUUUCUCCUUCUUUUUGGUGACGCUUCGCUUGCAUGCAAGGCGGCUAAUAAAAGCGCCAGGUAGACGCGCGGAGAUGCAUUUUGAGUACUGGUGGUACUGGACAAGCUCUAGGGGAAUAAUCUCUUUCUUAUUUCUUUCUUAUUCCUUUCAUUUGUUGCUUUGUCUUCGGUUUGUUUUUAAACUCGACCUUCUAUCGGGACUGUGGUGACGAACCUUACUCCCCUCGGUCAAGUGGUUGACCCGUCUGUCCAAUAAGUUUACUAAGUGAAUGGGAAUCCUAUAGUUUGACCAGCCUGGAUCUCUAUUCUCCAUAAGGAUAGGGUUUAUUUGAUUGGCAUUCACGCCUUUUAGAAAGAGCCACUCAAUGCAAUUCACUUUUAGGCGAAGAGAGUAGCAGGGACUAUGGUAUCGAAUUUUUUCAUUCGAGUAUCUAUUAGAAAUGAAUUCUCCAGCAUUUGAUUCCUUACUAACAAAGAACUUUUUGGUACACUUGAAAGGUACCCCAUAGCAUGACUAAUUGAUAAAAUGUGGAGGAAAGUAGGGGAAAUGGCCGAUACUACUGGAAGAAUUCCUCUUUGGCUGAUAGGAGCGUAAAUAAUUGUAACCAUAUACAUAUAAAAUGACAGCAAUGGAAUCCCAAUCCCCUGCUUUUAUUUGUAAAGUCUCUAUUCCUCGGUGAUCAAAGCCCAAUGUCUCGGGGACUCAUUCUGACUUAAACAAGGGGUGGGUCUUUACCAACUUCCUAAAUCUAUAAAAAUAUAAAACUUCUCGGCUUUUACCCAUUUUAAUUUUUUUUGGAAUAAACUGUUGUCAACUAAUCUUUUCAAUGUUCAAUUCUACUCUAUGUUAGAACACGAGAAAGUGGAAAUCCUUUUGAAGGAAGCUAUUCAGGAACAGCUGGAACGGUUUUCUCUUCAGUAACAAAUAAAUUUUGCAUGCAGGCGAGUUGCAGCCUGCAAUCCGAACUGAGGACGGGUUUUUGGAGUUAGCUCACCCUCGCGAGAUCGCGACCCUUUGUCCCGCCCAUUGUAGCCUCUAUUGAGAAUCUAGUUUCUUGAUCGAAGUAAAGAAGAAUUUUAGUUCCUCUUUAGGCGAGCUACUUCGUUCCUAUUCUCCGAAUCUGAAUAGGAGAAGGUUGUAAUGAACCCAAAAUACAUCGCUAAGGUUCAACCGUUUCGCUACGGUUUUCUUCCAAUUUCAUCCAAGAUUUAAUAACUGAUCCAUUCUCAUCCUCGGUAAAGUCCAUAUUAUUGUGAUAGAAAUGAAGAGAAAUAAAUAAGCUUUAGUUAAUGUAAUAAAUAUACCCAUUGCUCUUUGAUGAAAAGAUGAAAAAACCAAAAAAAAGCUCUGCCCUUCCAUCUCUUCGAUAGAUAGAGAGGGAGGGCAGAGGCCUUGAACAAAAAGAUCACAGUAAACUUUUGGUAAAAGUUCUAUCUUGGUCGGAGUGGGGAUAUCAUUUCUCUUCUGCAUGUCUAUGGAGUUUUGCAAAACCCAAACACCUCCCAUGCAAAACCGUGCAUGAGACUUUCAUCUCGCACGACUCCUAAGUGAUAAAAGAAAGAAGAACUCGUCUUCUCUCUUUUUUGAUUACCUUCCUCGAUCAUGAUUUGGAACCUGUUCUUUACAUGAACCCUCUUAACUAAGAUUUUCUUAUUUAUACCUGUUCUACUUUUUUUCUGUUCUGGCUCGGUUAUUCCAUCUAGCCGAGCCAUUCAUUCCUUUUUAUGAAAGAAAGAUAAGGGACUUCUUUAAAAAGAAAAAGAAGUGCCUCUAUAUUUAUAUUAUAGAUUUAUCCACUUAGAUGAAUAAAUAUUAUUAAUGAAUAUGUAUCACAAUCCAUCUCGAGGUAUUUGG